UGUAUCAGCGCUGCCAAUUCUGCUCUUCAGAACUUCUUGUUUGUGUUUGGACAGCCUGGCUGUUUGGGUGUUGGCUACAGGGGAGUGGUUGCCAAGCCUCUAUGGUCUGGAGUGGAGACUCAACAUCUCCCCAUCUCAGGACAGAGCCGGUGAAUAAACGUGAAUAAAACUGCUGCAGCCCCUUGGGAUACUGUCUGCCUGUGUACACACCGAAUCAACUCACUGCUAUAAUGUCAGAAACGGAUUAUCAUCAUAUCGUGGUAACUGAUGACACAGCAGCAGCAGGGGUGGCCAGGAGUGAGCUGCAGCCCAUUCUGCAGAAGCUGCUCACCGCUCUGGAGAUUCGAGAGAAGUACAUGCACCGCUCUCUACAGAGGUUCCCCCGCAGCACAGCACAG